UACGGGGGGGGCAAGCGUUGUUCGGAAUUACUGGGCGUAAAGGGUUCGUAGGUGGCUCGCUAAGUCAGACGUGAAAUCCCUCAGCUUAACUGGGGAACUGCGUCUGAGACUGGCGAGCUUGAGUGCAGGAGAGGAACGCGGAAUUCCAGGUGUAGCGGUGAAAUGCGCAGAUAUCAGGAGGAACACCGGUGGCGAAGGCGGGUCUCUGGGCCGUAACUGAUGCUGAGGAGCGAAAGCGUGGGGAGCGAACAGG
rnacentral:rRNA from 1 species